GACGAACGCUGGCGGCGUGCUCAACACAUGCAAGUCGAACGGAAAAGCCCUGCUUUUGUGGGGUGCUCGAGUGGCGAACGGGUGAGUAACACGUGAGUAACCUGCCCUUGACUUUGGGAUAACUUCAGGAAACUGGGGCUAAUACCGGAUAGGAGCUCCUGCUGCAUGGUGGGGGUUGGAAAGUUUCGGCGGUUGGGGAUGGACUCGCGGCUUAUCAGCUUGUUGGUGGGGUAGUGGCUUACCAAGGCUUUGACGGGUAGCCGGCCUGAGAGGGUGACCGGCCACAUUGGGACUGAGAUACGGCCCAGACUCCUACGGGAGGCAGCAGUGGGGAAUAUUGCACAAUGGGCGGAAGCCUGAUGCAGCAACGCCGCGUGCGGGAUGACGGCCUUCGGGUUGUAAACCGCUUUCGCCUGUGACGAAGCGUGAGUGACGGUAAUGGGUAAAGAAGCACCGGCUAACUACGUG
rnacentral:rRNA from 1 species